UUCCUCUGUAAUAUCUGUACCACGCAUGUCUUGAAACAGUUGACGGCCAAGAAGCGGCACAUUUGACGAGACCAACUUCGCAGAAAAAUAUAUUUUGACUACACCCGACGAAUUAUGUUCACAGAUUGUGCAGGUUGAUGCCACUAAAGACCACGAUUAACUUCACCAAAGGACAUGGAAAUAUGUGCGUUCAAACCACCAGAAGGUGCAGUGCAACCAAGUCCACCAAGCCCCCCCAGGACACACAAAUCACUCAACAACAUAGAAUGACAAAAUGCCACCCCAAAUUGUCAGAUGGCACAGUUCAUGUCAAAAGCCCAAGGACUCAGAACAUGAAGCCAAAGAAGUAGAUGAUGACUCGGCCCAGUGACACCAAAUGGAAAAGCCCAUUGCAGUAGUCAACCCUACUGGAGAUGAAUGCAUCAAUAAGUUAUCUAAAUCAUGUUUUGACAUUAGACAUCUAAGUUUGGCCAUGUUUUUGAGGCUUAUGACUCUGCCACUGCACAUGGUUUGUAGAGAGAGGCACGCACACUCUAUUAUGUCAGAUAAAAAUGUUUGCAUGGCUCUGAUUGGAAAUUGCCAGAAGGGAUAGGUCAAGCAGGAGCAGUGUGAAAGGCGUCCUAAUUGCUUGAGUGGGAGGGGAAACCUCUAGUGGCCACCUUACAACAAACAAGUUUGUCAAGAUUUGGGAAAGAUUCUUAAAAGAUUGUAGUAUUUUAACUAAUGCCCCCCAUUCAAGCUUUACUCAAAAGACUCCAAUCUUUAAAGAAUCUUUUCUCAAAUCUUGUCAAAGUUGUUUGGUGUAAGGAGGCCAUUAGUCUAAUAGCCAUGCACCAAACCACCAAAGUACUCAUGACUGUCAGGUAGGGUGACAGUAUUUUAACACUAUUUCAAAAAAUGUCCAGUGAUGACAUAUUAACAGCAAAAACCUUUUAUAGACUAUUUCUUUGUACAGUGUACUCAUGCAAUGGGCAGCAAUCGUGAGAUGUUUGCUUAAUGUUAUAGUUGUGAAAACAUUAGAAAAUGUUAUGGGCUUGAAAUUGCAUACAAUACCUGAUGUAUUUUUUCAUGUUACAUGAAUUAAAAUGAAGUGUUAUUUAUAUAAGAUCAUACUUAUGUGCCUAUAAAAUUAUAUUAACGGUCAUUGAGUCCAUGUUCUUGUCUCAACACAGCAAGUUAGUUUACUUGUUGCCCCCCCCCCUCUCCUCCUAUAGGGCUCAUUCUCUCAAUGCAUUUAUUCAUGGUUGUAAUAGGCAGCAUUCAUUUAAAUGUAGGUGACCAUACUCAUCUUUGCAAGUUUACACAGGCAAAUACAUAGGCUAGCAAGUUCACAGUAAAGGAAUGAGUCAUUUGAUGAUCAUUCCAUGUGUGAAUUUGAAUGUGUGCUCUCGUUUUGA